rnacentral:rRNA from 1 species
UAGUCAUAUGCUUGUCUCAAAGAUUAAGCCAUGCAUGUCUAAGUAUAAAUGGAUUAUACAGUGAAACUGCGAAUGGCUCAUUAAAUCAGUUAUAGUUUAUUUGAUAAUACCUUUUACUUGGAUAACCGUAAUAAUUUUAGAGCUAAUACAUGCGUGAAAGUGCGACUUUUGUGGAAGCACUGUAUUUAUUAGAUACAAAACCAAUCGAGCUUGCUCGUUACCUUGGUGAUUCAUAAUAACUAAACGAAUCGUAUGACUUUAUGUCGACGAUGAUUCAUUCAAAUUUCUGCCCUAUCAACUUUCGAUGGUAAGGUAUUGGCUUACCAUGGUUACAACGGGUGACGGAGAAUAGGGUUCGAUUCCGGAGAGGGAGCCUGAGAAACGGCUACCACUUCUACGGAGGGCAGCAGGCGCGCAAAUUACCCAAUCCUGACUCAGGGAGGUAGUGACGAAUAAUAACGAUACGUGACUUCGGUCUAGUAAUUGGAAUGAGUACAAUUUAAACCCCUUAAUGAAUUCCAUUGA